AACGAACGCUGGCGGCAUGCUCAACACAUGCAAGUCGAAGGAGGCCUUCGACUCUCGUCGCGCACGGGUGCGUAACGCGUGGGAACCUGCGCUUAGGUUCGGAAGAAAGCCGCCAAAGGGGUGCGAAAAUCGGGUAAAGUCUUCGGACCAAAGAUCGAGCGCCUUUGGUUGCUACCGGGUUGGAUUAGCGAGUUGGUAGGGUAAAAGCCUACCAAGGCGACGAGCCAUAGCUGGUCUGAGAGGAUGAGCAGCCACACUGAGACUGAGACACGGCGCAGACGUCUAGAGGAGGGAGCAGUGGGGGAUAUUGUAAAACGGGCGAAAGCCUGAUACGACGAUGCCGCGUGAGUUGUAAAGGCCUUAGGGUUGUAAAGCACGUUCACCAGCGAUGAUAAUGACAGUACCGGGAGAAUAAGCUCCGGCUAACUCGGUG
rnacentral:rRNA from 1 species